rnacentral:rRNA from 1 species
GACGAACGCUGGCGGCGUGCUUUACACAUGCAAGUCGAACGGAAAGGCCCUGCUUUUGUGGGGUGCUCGAGUGGCGAACGGGUGAGUAACACGUGAGUAACCUGCCCUUGACUUUGGGAUAACUUCAGGAAACUGGGGCUAAUACCGGAUAGGAGCUCCUGCUGCAUGGUGGGGGUUGGAAAGUUUCGGCGGUUGGGGAUGGACUCGCGGCUUAUCAGCUUGUUGGUGGGGUAGUGGCUUACCAAGGCUUUGACGGGUAGCCGGCCUGAGAGGGUGACCGGCCACAUUGGGACUGAGAGACGGCCCAGACUCCUACGGGAGGCAGCAGUGGGGAAUAUUGCACAAUGGGCGGAAGCCUGAUGCAGCAACGCCGCGUGCGGGAUGACGGCCUUCGGGUUGUAAACCGCUUUCGCCUGUGACGAAGCGUGAGUGACGGUAAUGGGUAAAGAAGCACCGGCUAACUACGUG